UUAUUGGACAGUAAGAACUUUAGGAUGGUUCUUUAAGAGAACAUGAGUCAUCUCAAGAGACUGAAGAGGCUUUUAAAAGAUGUGGAAGUGGUGAUUUUAGGUUGAGUCAAUUUGACUGUUGAAGCUAACCAUCACAGAUACCAUCAAGCAAGAACAGAAAAUGCAUCAAGGUGCCACUGUGCUCCAGAUGGACACCAAGUCUUCAGGGGAAGGUCUUGGGGUAUUUGAACUCUGGCCUCUAGUCUAGCUCUCUGCUCGUCGCUUCAACUCCUUCUCCGGCUCUGUGAUCCAAUUAAAUCUUCCAUGUGACAGCAACUAAGAUAACUUAAAUCAGCUUUGUCAUUUGUAGACAUGACCACCAGCUUACUGAUAUGAAAAAUUAAAAAAAAAUAGCUGCC